UACAGAGGGUGCAAGCGUUGUUCGGAAUUAUUGGGCGUAAAGCGCGUGUAGGCGGCUUUGCAAGUCGGAUGUGAAAGCCCUCGGCUCAACCGAGGAAGUGCGUUCGAAACUGCAGAGCUUGAGUACCGGAGAGGGUGGCGGAAUUCCCCAAGUAGAGGUGAAAUUCGUAGAUAUGGGGAGGAACACCGGUGGCGAAGGCGGCCACCUGGACGGUCACGACGC
rnacentral:rRNA from 1 species